GUUUUAUGGAUAUUGUCAAGCUUCCUGUUGGUCUGGAUAGGAUUUUAUCCAGUAUCAGCUAGCAAAUUGCUAGCCGCAUUUCCAAAAAUAGUGCGACCAGGAUCCCCUUUAAUUGUAAACUGUCACCUGUUACAACGUGGAAGCCAAAAUUUAAUGUUAGAACUGGUAAAGGAUGGAAGAUCAAUACGUCAAAACACUUCUACUGUCACUUUUGGAAAGCAGCAUAAUAUCAUGUUAAAUGUACCGCCUGAUUUGACAUCUUCAAAGAACUUAAGAGUCAAACUAUCAUACGGUGGAGAUUCAAUUGUGUCACCUAUUCAGUAUGAUGACCUCAAGAGUGUCAUUUUGAUACAA